UCCGUUUCAUUUAUUCCAUUCCAGCCAUUACAAUGAGCCCGUCCUCCUAUAGCUCCUCCCACCAGCCUCCGCUGCUGGACACAGAGGAACCACGACGCCUAUCAAAGUGGGACCAGACACUGGUUGAAUAUUCCAAGGACGGAGCACCCCUUCAGCAAUCCAAGAGCGGAGCACCCCUUCAGUGAUCCGAGGACAGAGCACCCCUUCAGCGAUCCAAGGACUGAGCAACCCUUCAGCGAUCCAAGGACGGAGCACCCCUUCAGCAAUCAGAGGACGGAGCACCCCUUCAGCGAUCCAAGGACGGAGCACCCCUUCAGUGAUCCGAGGACAGAGCACCCCUUCAGCGAUCCAAGGACUGAGCAACCCUUCAGCGAUCCAAGGACGGAGCACCCCUUCAGCAAUCAGAGGACGGAGCACCCCUUCAGGGAUCUGAGAACAGAGCACCCCUUCAGCGAUUCCAGGACGGAGCACCCCUUCAGCGAUCCGAGGACGGAGCACCCCUUUUAGCGAUCCGAACAACAGACCCUCGCAGCAGGAAGACUACAACACCAUUUACCCUGAAAUCGAAAAUCUUUGCCUACCUAUUGAACUGAACUGG